AGUUAUCAUAGCCCAUCCAUCUCCGAGCAUCAUGAGUACUAGCAAUUAACUCUUUCUCGGAUAAGUAUUCAGAGCUUCCAUAAAAUUGACAAUUAUAGAAUCUGAGCAAUCUUAAUUUGUUCAUCUUUGCAAAGGCAUCAACACUGAGGUUUAGCUCUUUUGAUGCAGACAAGUCAAAGACCAUGCCUUCAACUGCUUCAGUCCCCUAAAGUUAACCAAGACCAGAGCAUGAGAUAGAAGUAAGAAUGAAAAAAUAGGGAAGAAAACAAGAAAAAAGAAAGUCCAGAAAACAACUUAAUGACCUUUUUUGCCUUUACAUUUUUUUUUUCAAUUUUUAAGUGUUAUUGUAGGAAUGAAGUUUGAACACAAGAAAACACAUCUUUUAAGGUGGCAACUCUUAUUUGUUAGUAAAAUUGUAAAGAUUUAUGAGUUUUCAAAAUAGAUGGAAUAGUAUUCUUCGAACUUAGUCUUCAACUAGAGCUUGUACACACGCCAAAAAAGAAAGUUGAUGCAUUGGGGUCUUACCUUAUUUGUUGUUAAUACAUCAUGGAUGUCCUCAUGAACCCGCAAUCUGCUGCGUUUGCCAGGGUCUUUAAUAGAUUCUUGUCGAACAAUUUCCCAACCCAUUUCUUGUAGUAAAUCAUGCAUGUACAACUUAUUAUCUGAAAUAGUUAUGAGUGAUUUAUCGACAAGAUUUCCUAUUUCACUCACUGGGAAGAAAUUAUCUAGUACUUCUAUAACAAAAUCUUUGUCCUCCCCUUUAUAGAAGAAUGCAAUAUCAAGAAACAUAUUCUUUUCAUUAUCAUCUAAUCCAUCAAAACUUGUUUUGAGCACAUUUAGAACUUCCUUAUUUGGGAAUUGAUUGAAUUUGUCCAAUUCACUCUUCCAUUCAUGUAUGCUUUUUCUAUAUAGACAAGAACCCAAGACUUUAAGGGCUAAGGGAAGACUUCCAGUAUAAUCUACUGCAUGGUGGCACAAUUGCAUAAAAUCUUCAGUAGGAUGCUUAUAUCUAAAGGCAUAUUGACAAAAGAGCUUAAGAGCUUCAUCAUACUCUAAUUUCUCAACUUCAUAUAUUGCAUCCAUUUCUUGCUCAAUUAGCAAACGCUUUUCUCUAGUAGUUAUGAUGAUUCGACUUCCUGGACCAAACCAAUCAUGACUUCCUACUAAAGCCUCCAACUCUUGCCGGUGCACCACAUUGUCAAGAACAAUUAGGACCUUCUUAGAGUGGAGUCUUGCUUUUAUAAAAUUGAUUCCUCUAUUGAGAUUGUUGAUUCCCCCUAAAACUCGUGAAAGGAGUGUUUCUUGUAAAUAAGUUAGACCAUGUCUUUGUGAGUCUUCUCUAACAUCUUUAAGAAAGCAGCAACCAUCAAAUUUAGUGUAGAUUCGGUCAUAAAUAGCUUCAGCAAUGGUAGUCUUACCUAUGCCAGCCAUGCCCCAAAUUCCAACAAACCGAACAUCAUUAGACCCAAUACAUAACAGUGAAAGCAGGUCCUCCAUACGAGAGUCCAUUCCAACUAGAGCAUCCACGUUGCUUGAGAAUGCAUCAAUCGGCUCAUUCAAAAUCCUGGUAACAAUUUCCUCAAUAACCUCGGAUUCAUCUCUGCAAAUUUCAAAUUGAGAAAAAUCGCAUGGUCAUUUUUUAAGCCAAAAAGGAACAAAGAAAAAUGAGAUAAACAUAUAUAGCAGUACUUUGCUUUGUUCUUUAUGACUGAAAAGAGAGGGCAAACUAUAUGUAAGUUGACAAGAUGAAGCUAAAAUUGAUCAAAUAAUUGUUAAUCCCAUAUUCAUGUUGUUAUGGCGAGAACAUAUAGCAGCCAAUAAAAGAAGAGAUAUGGGGUAGGAAUACUAUUAGUCAGUCUAGCACCAGAACAUGGGAAAAACUCCUUUAGCUUUUGGAGUUUUGUGAAGUCAUUUUUCUUCUUGAAAUCAUUUUUCUCAUAACUUCCCCAUAUACUAAGCUGCAGCCACAGGUGUGUAUUUUUAAAAAAAAAAAAAAAAAAUCCAAAUCGGUCAAUGGUCAAAAGCUUCUUCCACCCAUGAAGCUUCCAAGAAUUUUCCUUCAUUAAACUUCCUUUUAUAUUAAAUUUUUAAAAUUUUUGACACGUCUCCACCUUCACCAUGCCCCCACCAUAAAGAGGACCACCUCAAUUUCGACUUAGACACUGACUUAGCUGUGAAAAUUUGGGUCCCCAAGUGGAAAAGUAAAAUGAUCAAGGCUUGCUCACCAGCUGUAAGCUGCUGAUUACUGAUUGGUAACAGGAAACUUCAGACCAUGUUCGGCAACAGGGACUGAAAACGCCAAAUCCAUUUAUUUUUCAUUCAAUUGUUUAUUAGAUACGAGUAUAAAAUAAAUAAAAAAAUAAAUCAUUCUUAUUCAAAUAAUCAUAUCUUUUUAUUAAAUUUCAAUAAAAAAAUUAAUUUUUUUUUUUUAAAUUCAUAUGGUGUUGUGAUUAAUCUCGAACCCUAUUUCUAUCCUCAUUCUUAUUUUGUAAAAUUAAAUAAAAAUUUGUCUUAGAUUCAUCUCUGUGAAAUUCAAAUUGAGAACAAUCACAUGGUCAUUUUCUAAAUCCAUUAAGGGACAAAGAAAAAUAGACAAACAUAGCAGCACUUAGAUUUGUUCUUUGCAACUGAAAAGAGAGGGCAAACUAAAUCUAACCUGACAAGAUGAAGCUAAAAUUGAUCACAUUGUUAAUCCCAUACUCAUUUUGUCACGGUGAGAAAACAUAGUAGCCAAUAAAAGAAGAGAUAUGGGGUUAGGACUACUAUUAUUGAGUCUAGCCUACUCCCAAUUGAGCAGGAUGCAUAAAGAACAUCUUAGAAAGAAGGUUAGGAAUACUAGGAAACCUAAUGAAUGCAUUUUAUAAUGGUGGGACUGCAUUUUAUGAUAGUUAGAAAGAAUUACCUGUCUCGUGAAUCCCAUCCAGAAAUUGUAGCUACUUCAGUUAAAGCUUUUCUCCACUUGACCACUUUCUCCAUCUUCUCCCUGUAUACUUGUUCAUGCUCUGCAAAUGCGUCCGCAAAACACCCUUUUUGUUUUCUUACAUGGGAGGGAUCCACGUUAUAGAAAACCGGUAGAGCUGUAUGUCCCCCCUCUUCGACACACUCAAGAAUCUUUGUAAGUUCAUCCAAACACCAACUUGAAGAAGCAUAGUUUUCGGAAAAAAUGAUGAUGGAAAACCUCGAUUCUUCAAUUGCUUGUAGGAGUCCUGCAGAUAUUUUUUCGCCUCUCAGGAGUAGGUUAUCUUUGAAGGUGUUGAUUCCCUUCUGACAAAGGGCCGCGUGGAGAUGGGUAGUAAAGUUUUUGCGGGUAUCUUCACCUCUGAAACUAAGGAAGGCAUCAUACUUCCAUCGAUGAGUGGAAGAGGAUGAAGGUAGUGUGAGACUGCUGGUUGAAGAAGAAGCCAUUGCAAAAUUGGAAGAAGAAGGCUUGGAAGACUGGUAGCUUGACUCUGAGAAUUGUAACUUGAGAGAUUGGCAAAGGGUGUGGAUGAAGACCAAACUAAGGCGAGAUGUAUACGGCUUCACAUGAGAACCACAAAUAAAUAAAUAAAUAAAUAAACUAACAAACAUCAAAAUUUUCUUGUCUCUUUUUCACGCGAUAGAAUUCUUUUAUCUGUAAGAUAAAAACAAGGUGAAAUAGUAAAUAGGAAAACGGAAACUGGGAGACACGAGACAGAAAGAUAGGAAUGACAUAAAAAAAUUAUUUACUUAUUUACAGUAGCAUUGAUCCCAAUUCUUAGAAAUUUAUUUAUUUAUUUAAUUUUUUUUCAUCUUGAUAUUAAUUCUUACAAAUUAAACAUUAAAAAUACAAUUAAGACCAGUAAAUAAUAAGGGAUAUACAAUGAAAAUAUUUGUCACCUUUUUUCUUCAGCUUUAAAGCUUUCACCAUAUUCUAAAAUUUAUUUUAGUAUCAUGUUAACUAAAAUGUGAACUUCAUCCAAAUAGGUGAAAUAUACUAACUAUUAGGUGCAAUAAUACUGCUCUUAAGUGGGAAGAUAAUGAUCCAAAUGAUGGUAAUAUUGAGUAUCAUUGAAAGUUUCAUGCUUGGUAAUUUUAUACUAAUUUGUUGAUCUUGGAGAAAUAUUAAAAGAUGUUAAAAAUUUUAAAUUUUCUUUUACAAAGUAAUUUUUUUAAAAAAAAAUAUUUUUUUCCCUUCUUUAUGAGGCAAAUAUUAGGUAAAAAAAAUUAAUUUGAAAGAACAGAAAAAAAAAAUUAAAAGAUGUUAAAAUUUUUAAAUUUUUUUGAAAAACCUUUUUUCAGACUUUUAAAUGAAGUUAGAUAUAUAUAUAUAUAUAUAUAUAUAUAGAGAGAGAGAGAGAGAGAGAGAGAGAGAGAGAGAGAGAGAGAGAGAGAGAGAGAGAGAGAGAGAGAGAGAGAGAGAGAGAGAGAGAGAGAGAGAUGUAGUGUCUUAGUUAAUUAAAACCAAAGGGAAAAUUGGUGGAAAUAACACAAAAAUUAAUAAAUAAAUAAAGGCACAUGACAAUAUUGUAAUAGAAAAAUAAAAAAGAUAUGAAAACAAAAGGAAGAGAGAAUAAACAUAAAAAGAAGGAAAAUAUUAAAUUAUCACUUUAUAUGUAUUCUAUUAUCACUUUGCCAAGUAAUAAGAAUAGUCAAAUCUCAGGAUUGAACCUAAAACUAAUCAAGCAUUUGGUAUAUAGACUCAAGUCAUAUUAAUCUAAAUAGGAUCCAAAGACCAGUCAAGUCUAGACUCUUUGAUUUCAAAAGAUCUUCUAGUCUACGAAUCCUAUAUAGAUGGUAAAAUGACUAAGAGGACUACAGUUAAGAAACAUUUAGAGUUAGUGCUUAUUGACGUGUAUGAUCCUUUUUCUGUUUAUGCAUGGUAAGUAUGAGUAUUUCAUCAUUUUUAACAACGAUUACUCUAGGUUUGGAUUUUUGUAUAGGGAAUUUGAUGCCUUUGAUACAUUCAUUAAAUUUAAGGUGAGAUCAGAUAACCUAUUAGGUAAACAUAUUUGUCACUUUGAUUAGAUUGAAGUAGUAUGUCAAGUAUGUUUGAUGACUUUCAUAGGAGCAUGUGAUUAUUUUCCAAUUAUGUGCACUAGGGACUCCAUUACUAAAUGCAGAGGUGGAAAGAAGAUAUCAAACUUUAAUAGGCAUAAUGAAAUCAAUGAUUGAUUUCUUAUUAUUUCCCAUAUUCUUUUGGAGAUAUAUCUUAAAAGACUGUAUAAUACUUCUUUUUCCUAAAAGGUAUAUUGGUUUAUGAGAUAUUUAAGAGAAUUUCAAAGGUCAUUACCUUUAUAGUCAAGAUUAUUAGAAGAUGUUAUUGUUACAAAUGUCAUAUUCAUUAUGAAGACUAUAUGAUAAGGAAUAAGACAAAGAAUGAUGUAGAAUGAAGGAUACAUUAGAAGACAAUCCCACUUAUACAUAGGUUGCUAUGGAUCUAGAGGAUUAGAGACAUACAAUUCUUAUGAUUUUUAAUACACCAAUACCUCAUCAUAGUGAGAGGUUUAUAUCCUAUAGAUUAUGAUGAGAAGUGAGUGGUGUUUGUGCUCAUUUUAGGUAAGGAGCUAUGAAGGUAAAAUUAGAAUCUUUAUAUUCUAACAUAGUUUGGGUUCUUGUUGAAGCACCUGAAGGGAUAAAACCUAUGGGGAUAAGUUAGUCUAUAAUAAGAAUAAAAGAGUAGAUAGAAAGUUUGAGUUUUAUGUGGCUAAUUUGUAGCUAAAAAUUAUAGUUUGAAACUUCGUUUCAACUAUAGAAAACCUUUUCAUUAGUAGCCUACUAAAAUCCAUUAAAAUACUCUUAUCAAUUGUGAUACAUCUCAUUUAUGAGAUACAACAAUUAGACAUUUUCAUAUAAAAUGGUCUUAUGUGUAUAAGAAGGCAUAAAAAAACAUUAGUUAUUUCUCUUAUGUAUUGUUUGUGGUUUCUUUAUUUUUUUUUCAUUAGUUAUUUCUCUUUUUGUAUUUUUUUUUUGUGUGUUUUUAGCUCUAUUGUUAUACUGACAUAUUUCAUCUAUUAAAACUAAACUUUGUUCAACUUUUAAAUAAUUCUUUAAUUUCUUUCAAAGUUUUAUUUAGCUAGCACAUAAAGGCCCAAAUUACUAGUUGUUUAAUACAAAUAUGAAUUUAAUCACAUAAAAUAAUUGAAAAAAAUAUAAUAAUCUACAAUGAUCACCAAAAUGAAAUAAAAUUAUCUAUUAUUUACCAUAUUCAAAAUAAUUAUUAAUCCUUUUUAUGAGCCAAGGAAAUCAAGAAAAUUGCAAAUAAAUUAAACUUGAGUCAAUUAAAAUUGGAUUAUAAAAAUGAAAUGAAAUUCUAAAAAAUCCAAUGCAUUAUAUAAUAUUUUUUAGGCAACUGAAUGAAGUACUAAAAAGAACUAAAAACAUGUUAAAAAGAAUUGAUCAUUACCUCAAAUGAGGGAGUAUAGUAGAGAGCUCCAUCAGGCUUCUUCAGCAGGAACCACCUUUAAACUUUUCAUUGAAAUCUGAAUAAAUUAAAAUAUUUUUCACUAAAUUGAUCAAAUGAAGUGAUUGAACUUUAAAUGAACUAAAGACUUUAAUUUGGUUGAGUAAACUAAAUAAAGAAUAUUAUAUUCACUAGAAAUAUUGAUUAAGGAAGCAAAAAGAAGCUGCUUACAUAGGGAGCACAAGAGAUGGAGGCGAUGGUGGGUUUUAGGCAAUUAGAGGUCUUCUGAUUUGUCUCCUAGCGGCAAAAUGGUGGCAUAAGGAAAGUUGCAUUCCCCAUUGUUCUCAUCUUCCUCAUAUACUAAACGAACCCCACACUUUUUCACCUCUUCCCUAGCCUUGUAGUUGAUCAAACAUCUAACAAAUGAAAUCUUCAAAGUGUUGCUAUGCUUUCUAAACUCAUUUUCAUUCCAACAGUAUAGUGCAACAAGUGAUCGAUACCCUAGCCAGAUGUGGUCAACUUUCAUUGAAAAAUGCAUGGAAGCCAUUUCCCCGACAUAGUACUCACCACCAUUGUUGAUACUAGGUCAACUAAGAAUAAAUUCCUCCUUUUGAGGUGGCAGUGAAAGCUCCCAUUCAAAUGCCAGAAUCUAGAUUUCUUGCUUCCCUGCACAAAAAUGUUAGAACGGGUUGUCCGGACACACCCUUCGAAGCUCAAGUCAGACUAGAGUCCUUUAGAGAGAGAGAGAGAGAACUCACAGUGUCCUGCCAUUUUUUUUUUCUUAUAGUAGGGUUUUUAUAAUAUUCAAAUGUGGAGCCAAGUUCUGCAGUGAUGGGCUAGCCUUUGCAGUGAUGAUUGCACAGUAGUGAUAGGGCAAUCAUCACACCCGUAGGGCGGUUGGGGGCUGUGUCAAAUGACACGUCAUGACAUAGCUUGUCGUCCCUUCACCUUUGUUGAAGGCCUAAUACUGAGCAUGCUUAUCUAUUGAAGUAGACGUGAGGAUGGGAAAAGUCCCAUAAGUCAAUAUGGUGUUAAUUAGGCAUGGUCUCAUAUACUAGAAAAGACUUGAGGCUAUCAAGGAGGUGCGGCGCGCUCAGCAGUGCAAAUGGUCCGGAUAGGAUGUUUUCGAAUGACACGUGGCCUAGCUGGAAUUAUGCUGCAUCAACAGACACGUGGAAGCAUUUGUGGGUGGACACGUGGGAUAAGACCCCCACAACCAUCUCCCAGAAGAAAAUAUACAAAACCCGGGAACAUUACAGUGGGAGAGACUUCGGGCUCUACGUCGACAAGAGCAUAAACAACCAAUCCCUUCAACUUGGUAUUAGACCAAUGUCAAAGCAGCUCUACUGUUACUAAAGACCCUACACUCUGAUGGGCGAACCACUCUAUAAUGCUACUUCCAAGAACAAUAGCAUCACAACCAUUACAUGGACUACGAAAAACCUGUAUGAUGAUGAAAACGUUGUUGGCAUGUAAAGGAAUAUUUUGUGGGAUUGCUCCAAUUGAUUGACACUUGGCGUAAGCAAAAAAUAUUCACACACAGAAAAAGAGAGAAACCUGAUCUGGAUGCAGAUAUUUCGGUACUGAUGCAACAAGCCGAAUUCCAAGUAGGAUAGCUUCCACAAUGUCACUCUGCUCAUUCUUCACUAGUUGGAAGCAAUUAGAAAAUUCAAAAAUGAGUCGUCUUGAAUUCCUCAACCCAUAUGCACUUGGUGGAUAUGAAAAGGUUUUCAGGGAUGUACAAUGAUUCGCAUCUAGUCUUGCAAUGCUUGAUGGAAGCUCUAGCAAUGAUUGAAGACUCCUGCAGUAAGUCAGUGCCAGCGUAUGGAGCCGAGGAAGUCCACUGAGGCUAGCAGGCAUGGUAAUGAAAUUGUUUCCGCUCAGAUCUAAAUAUUCUAAUGAAGAUAGAGAGCUCAGAUCACUAGGCAAUGCUCCUUCCAAUAGAUUGCAGCCACUCAAAUUCAAUUUCUCAAGGAGUAUAAACCUGAGAAAGAAGGCAGUCUCAAUCCUUCUGUUGGUGAUGAGUGGAAAGAGAAGACCAGAUUCCUUGACUUAGAUUUCCCUCCCUUACAUCUUGCAAAUGAUAAUUUUUAAAGGUUUGUCAGAAGAGUAAUAGAAUAAGGUACCUCUUGUAUGCCACUUCCAUCUGCAUUUAGCUCUACUAAACAUUGUAAGCUCCCCAAGUCAUCUGGCAAUUCCUUCAGUUCUGAUCAACCAUAGAGGGUAAGAGUCCGAAGAGAUGCCAGCUCACAUAUACUUUGCGGAAGACUUGCAAGUUUUUUACAAUUGCUCAAAUCCAACAAAACAAGUUCAUUUAGACGUUCAAUUGAUGAUGGCACUUCUCUUAUACUACUUGUGAAUGUUUUCAACAGAACCACCACAAAUUAUCUUGGUGAGUGUUUCUUCUCUAUAUUUCCAUUUACAAAGUACAUAAAAAUAGAAAGAAUAAAUAAUUUGUGGUAACGUAUCCUUGACACAAGGGAGCUAAUUAAGGUAACGUAUCCGUGACACCCCCUUGGAAGUUGAGCAUUGGAUUUGAACAAACAUGAAGCUUGGUACGAAAGAAGUCAAAGAGAGGGCAAGAAACACUUUUGGUGAAGAGGUCGGAAACUUGUAGAUGAGAGGGCACAUAUUGAGUGCGAAGUUUACCAGCAACAACAAGUUCCCGAAGAAAAUGAUAGUCUAAGUCAACAUGCUUGGCCCGUUUGUGGAAAACGGGGUUGGAGCUUAAGAAGAUCGCACUUUUGUUGUCACAUAGGAGAAUAGGCUUCGGUGAAAUGGGAACCUUAAGAUCAUGAAGUAGAUGGGUGAGCCAAAGAAGUUCAGCUGCAGUAGUGGCAAUGGCACGAUACUUAGAUUCACAACUAGAACAAGAGACAGUGGGUUGCUUUUUAGCACUCCAAGAAACCAGAUUAUUGUCAAGAUAAAUAGAGUAGCCAGAGGUGGAACGGCGAGUAUAGGGACAACCGACCCAAUUAGCGUUAGAGUAAGCAACUAGGGCACCAGGACCAAUAGAAGGGCGAAAAGUAAGAUCAAAGUGAAGUGUGCCCUUGACAUAAUGUAAGAUGCGCUUGACCGCAAGAAAGUGAGCCGCAGUAGGGGCAUGCAGAAACUGACUAACAGAGUUGACAACAUGAGCAAUGUCAGGGCGAGUAAUGGUUAAAUACUGAAGGGCACCAACUAGGAAUCGAUAAAGAGUGGGGUCUGAGAAGGCAGGAUCAUCGCUAGUUAGAUGCUGAUAGACAACCAUAGGAGUGUGAACAGGCUUGCUGUCAAGUAACUAGGCACGAGUCAGAAUAUAAGUACAUAAAAAUAGAAAGAAUAAAUAAUUUGUGGUAAAGUAUCCUUGACACAAGGGAGCUAAUUAAGGUAACGUAUCCGUGACACUACUCCCAUCUAGAAAAAGCUCCUUCAAACUCUCCUUAUUUUCCAGCAUAUCCGGAAGCUUCUUAAGUCUUGCGCAGUUUGAAAGAACGAGAGUUUUCAGGGACUGCAACUUAAAAAUGCUUCUAGGAAAUGACUGAAGGCGUUUGCACUCUUUCAGAUUUAAUAAAGCAAGUCCGGUGAGAUUUUCAAUGGAUGAGGGCAAUCCUUUAAUAAGAGUCCCUUCUAAAGAAAGCUCUGCUAGAUGUUCCAUAUUUCCUUGGACCUCUGGAAACUUAUUGAGUUUUAAGUAGCCGAAGAAAGUAAGAAUUUCAAGAGACUCCAUAUGGAUGCUGCUUGGGAAGCUCUUGAGUUUCUUUCAGCCUUUUAAAUUCAGGAAAAAUAGGCUGCUUGAGAGCUCCAAUGGAUGGGUGAACCUCUACCAAACUUAUACAACCUUUGUUAAUUACUCUCCUAAGGUUUGGGGCUCCCGAGAAGUCCGGAAUUUUGGUUAGAUAUUGAGAGUGGCUGAGUUUGAUGAAUUUCAACUUCUCCAAUCGCUGUCAAAGAAAAAGACUAAAAAUAAAGGCUACAACAAAUCAAAUUGAUGAACUUUAUAAUUGAUUUAAAGUAAAAAUAUAUAUAUAUAUAAAAAUAAUAAUAAUACCUUGUUCCCUUCCCAUAGUUGUUCAAGCUGACUAGAGCACAAGUUUAGCUCAACAAGCUUGUUUAGAUGAAAAUUUGAUGGAAGGGACUUCAAAGGAUAUCCAUGCCAAUAAAGAGAUCUUAAAUUGUUGAAUGGAAAUUUAAAAUCUCUGGAUAGAUGCAAUUUCCAUCAUUGUAUAGAGAGUUAUACAUCUCGUAGUCACUCCAUCUCCGAGCAUCAUGAGUACUAGUAAUUAUCUCAUUCCUAGAUAAAUAUUCAAAGCUUCCAGGGAAUUGAAAAUUAGAAAAUCUGAGCAAUCUUAAAUUGCUCAUUUUUGCAAAGGCAUAAAUGCUGAGGUUUAGCUCUUUUGAUACAGACAAGUCAAAGACUAUGCCUUCAACUGCUUCAAUCCCCUAAAAUUAACCAAGAGUAGAGUAAAUGAAAAAAAUAAAAAAAUAAAAAUGAAAUCUGAACAGUUUAAAAGAGAAAAAAAAGUCCACAAACCACCUGACUUUUUUCUUUUAGUAAGUGUUGUUAGAGAAAUUAAGUUUCAACUUUAAACACAAGAAAAUGCAUCUUUUAAGGUAGCAACUAUUGUCAUGUAAGUAAAAUGGUAUUUAGGUGUCUUACCAUAUUUGUUGUUAGUACAUCAUUGACUUCAUCAUUAUCCCACAACCUGUUGGGAUUGCCGGGGUAUUUAACAUCUCCUUGCCCAACAAUUUCCCAACCCAUCUCUUAUAGUAAAUCAUGCAUGCACAACUUAUUAUUUGAACAGUUAUGAGAGACUUAUCUAUAAAAACUCUUAUGUCAAUAAUCAGAAAGAAAUCACUACUUUCCAGUAUUUCUUCAACAAAACUUCUGUCUUCCCCUUUAAAGAAGCAUGCAAUAUCAAGUAAUAUUUCCUUUUGAGUAUGAUCUAAUCCAUCAAAACUUAUUUUUAGCUUUGUAUGAACAUCUUCAUGUGGAAUUCUUUUAAGUUUUAUCUAAUGCACUUUUCCAUUCAUCUAUGUUCUUGUUGCAUAAGAAAGCCCAACACUGUAAGGGCUAAUGGAAGGCCUUUAAUAUGAUCCACAACAUGGUUGCAUAGCUGCAUAUAAUCUUCUAUUACAGGAUUAUGUUUAAAGGCAUACCAACCAAAGAGCUUAUGAGCUUCAUCAUAUGCUAAUUCCUCAACAUCAUGUAUUGCAUCCACUCUAUUUCGCAAACCUUUAUCCCUAGUAGUUAUGAUAAUUUGACUACCUCAACCAAACCAAUCAUGAUCUCCUGCUAAAGCUUGCAACUGCUGCUGGUUAUGCACAUCAUCAAGAACGAUAAGGGCCCUCCUUGAGUGGAGUCUUGCUUUUAUAAAAUUGAUUCUAGUAUCAAAAAUUUUUGUUUUCCCCCCUAAACUUUGUGAAAGGAGUUUUUCUUUUAAAUAAGUUAGAUCAUGCCUUUGUGAGUCUUCUCUAUCAAUUUUAAGAAAGUAACAAUCUUCAUAUUUAUUGUGGAUUCGAUUGUAAACAACUUUGGCGACGGUGGUCUUACCUAUGCCGGCCAUGCCCCAAAUUCCUACAAUCCAAACAUCAUCAGAACCAAUACAUAACGAUGAAACCAUAUCCUCUAUACGCCCAAGUAGAUCAUCCAUGCUGCUUAUGGAUGCAUCAAUUGGUUCAUUCAAUAUCUUGGUAACAAUUUCUUCAAUAACCUCAGAUUCAUCUCUGCAAAAUUCAAAUUGAGAACAAUUGCAUGAUCAUUUUUUAAAGCAAUAGAGGGACAAAGAAAAAUAGACAAACAUAGCAGCACUUAGAUUUAGAUUUGAUCUUUGCAAUUAAAUAUAACUUGACGAGAUGAAGCCAAAUCCCAUACUCAUGUUGUCACAGUGAGAACACAUAGUAGCCAAUAAAAAGAAGAGAUAUAGGGUUAGGAAUAUUAUCAUUCAGUCUGGCCUCCUCCCAAUUGAGCAGGAUGCAUAAAGAACAUCUUAGAAACAAGGUUUCUAAUUAUUCACAUAAGUAAAUAUCAAAUACCACAUAAGUAAAUAAUAAAUUAUUCACGUAUGGAUACUUUUUUAUAAAGUUCUCAAUAUAAUCAUUUAAAAAAACUUCAUUAUAUUUAAAUAUCAUUUUAAUUUUCAAACUACACGUCAAAACCACAUAACUUUUGUUGUAUGUGUUUUAUUUUUCUAAGUUUAUAUAAAUGAAAAUUGUCAAAUUUUCCUUAUAUAUAUAUAUAUAUAUAGUAUUUUAUUUUCUUUUAAUUGGUUUGUUUCAUAAUAGUAUAGAAGGGUUUUUUUUUUUAUCUUUUUAUUUUUUUUAUAAUAUUGAUAAGGUACAUUGCUAAUGUUGCUACUUAUUUAUUUAUUUGUUUUUUAUUUUCUUCAAAAGCUAACAAGGUUAAUGCUUAAUUGUUUUAUGUUUACGGAAAGGAAAUGAAAAAUUAUUAUAUUUAAAAAAAAUUUGGUUUUUUUUAUUACAAUUAAACAAUAAAAUAUUAUACUAUGCUUAUGUUAUUUUAAAAGAUUUUGAGAUUAAAAUGCAUGUAAUAUCUUUUAAAUAAAUAAAAAUAUUCAAAUAUGGGUACUUUUGUUACCAUACUGAAAUAAUGGAAAUUUGUCUCCUUAUACCAAAUAAAAGCUAUUUUAAUUUUAUUACAUCUUAUCCUAAAUUUUUCCCAUAUAUUUCUUUAAUUUUUUUCAUUGGUUAUCUCCCCUAUGUAUUGCAAGAAAAAGUGCAAAUUAUGUCAUUCAAUAUAAAUAUGAAUUUAAUCAUAUAAAGUAAUUGAAAAAAAUAUUAACCUACGAUGGAUUGCCAGAAUGAAAUUAAAUUAUCUAUUAUUUACCAAAUUCAAAAUCAUUAUUAACCCUUUCCUAGAGGCAAGGAAACAAAGAAAACUACAAUUAAAUUAAAAUUGAGUCAAUUAAAAUUUGUUUAUAAAAAUAAAAAUUCAAAAAUUCAUUCCAUUAUCUAAUUAUUGCUAAAAUUCAUUACAUUGUGUAAUUUUUGUUUGGCAACUGAAUGAAGUACUAGAAAGAUCCCAAAGUAUAUUAAAAGAAAGGGAUUACCUCAAAUGAUGAGGUAUGAUAGAGAUUGAACGAGCGCUUCUUCAACUGGAACCAUCUUUAAACUUUUUAUUGAAAUCUGGAGAAAUCAAAGUAUUUUUCACUCAAUUGUUACUAUAAUAUCAUGAUAAAUUUAAUUUAAUAAAUUAAUAGAAUAAAAAAUUGGUGGUCAAUAAAAUAUUUCCAAAAUCCAAUGUUUGAUUGCCAAAGGCUUCAAGAGUAUGAGAAGGUUUCGAAGAAGCUUACAGGGGGAGCAUAGGUGAUGGAGGGGAAAGAAGGAACCCAAUUUUGAAGGAGCCGAAGGGUCCAUCAGAAGACCUUUUUUGUAGUUAGAGUCAUCUCCAUCGCCAUCUCCAUCUCCCGGCCACGUGGUGCCGAAAGGAAAGCUGCAUCCGCCAUCUUUCUCGAGCAAGAGAUAUAUACUCAAACAACGUGUGAUCUGACUCAAUAAAUUUGGAUCCUUCAAGUGGAGUAUACAAUGAGUGCAGGCCAGUCUCCACAAAACAAUCAUUCAGAUAACAAACUAAACCAAAGGAUGACGGUUCUGUACCGGGGUACCCAUCCAUAGCACCCUUGAAAUUGAGAGCAGCACAAAAAGCCAAUCCCAUCAACUUGGUAUUAUACCAAUGUGGAGGCAGCUCUAUAUUUACAGAACACCCUACACUCUGAUGCCUGAACCACUCUGGAAUUCUACUUCCAGGAACCAAAGCAUUAUAUUCAUUGUGUGGAGUAGGGAUCCCCUGCAUCAUGGAAAUCAUUGCUCGCAUGUGAGAAAAUAGUGUAGAAUAAGUAUUCAAAGUUUUAAAAUUAUUUUCUGGGAUUAAAUUUAUUUUUAAGAUUUUUUUUUUUAAGCAAAUACUUUUUGUCCUAUACAAUCCCAAAGUAGAAAAACAUACCCAUGGCACCAGAAAUUUUGGUAUUGAUGACAUAAGCUGGAUUCCCUCUAAUAUAGCUCCCACAAUGUCACUGCCUUGAUUCUCUCCUAGCCUAAAGCAAUUAGUGAAAUUAAAUCUGAGGUCCCCGAACUUCUUGGAUGUGUAUGCACCUGAUGAACAUGAGAAGGUUUCCAGGGAUGUGCAACUAUGGGCAUUUAAACUUUCAACACUUGAUGGAAGCUCUGGCAAUGAUUGAAGACUCUUGCAGUAUUCUAAUGUGAGACUUCGCAGCCGAGAAAGUCCACUGAGGCUAGCAGGUAUGGUAAUGAAACUGUUCCUGCUCAGAUCUAACCUUUCCAAUGAGGGUAUGGACCCAAGAUCACUGGGCAAUGCUCCUUCCGAUAGGUUGCAACGUUGUAGAAUUAACACUCUCAAGGAGUAUAAACCCGAGAAAGAAGGCAGUCGCAAUUCUUCUGUUGGUGAUGAGUGGAAAGAGAAGACCAUAUUCCUUGACUUGGAAUCCCCUCCCUUACAUCCUGCUAAUGAUAAUUUUUGAAGGUUUGUCAAAAGAGUAAUAGAGGGUGGAACCUCUUGUAUACCACUUCCAUCUGCAUUCAGCUCUGCUAAACAUUGUAGGCUCCCCAAGUCAUCUGGCAAUUCCUUCAGCUCUGAGCAACCACAGAGAGUAAGAGUCCCAAGAGAUGUCAACUCACAAAAGCUUUGCGGAAGACUUGCAAGUUUUUUACAAUUCUUCAGAUUCAAAAAAACAAGCCCAUUUAGACACCCAAUUGAGGAAGGCAGUUCUAUUAUACCACUCCCAUCUAGAAAAAGCUCCAUCAAACUCUCCAUGUUUUCCUGGAUCUCUGGAAGCUUCUUGAGUCUUGUGCAGUUUGAAAGAAUGAGAGUUUUCAGGGACUUCAACUUAAAAAUGCUUCUGGGUAGUGACUCAAGGCUUUUGCACUCUUUCAGAUUUAACAAAGCAAGUCCAGUGAGAUUUUCAAUGGACAAGGGCAAUCCUUUUAUAGCAGUCCCUUCUAAAGAAAGAUUUGGUAGAUGUUCCAUAUUCCCUUGGACCUCUGGAAACUUCUUCAGUUUUGAGCAGCCAGAGAGAGUAAGAAUUUGAAGGGACUCCAUAUGGAUGCUGCUUGAGAAACUCUUGAGUUUUUUGCAGCCUUCUAAAUUCAGGAAAAUAAGCUUCUUGAGAGCUCCAAUAGAUGGGUGAACCUCGACCAAACUUGUACAACCUUUGAGAAUUAGUCUCCUAAGGUUUGGCACUCCAGAGAAGUCUGGUGUUUUGGUUAGAUGUUGAGAGUGGCUAAGUUUGAUGGAUUUCAACUUCUCAAAUCCCUAUCAAAGAAAAGGGAAAACAAUCCACUUUAAUGGACUUUAUAAUCCAUUUAAAGAAAAAAAAUGUAUAUAAAUUAUAAUCAUACCUUUUUUCCUUCCCACAGUUGUUUAAGUCUACUAAAGCACAUGUUUAGCUCAACAAGCUUCUCUGGAUGAAAAUUUGAUGGAAAGGACUUCAAAGGGUAUCCAUGCCAAUAGAGAUCUCUUAAGUUGUUGGAUAGAAAUUUGGAAUCUUCAUAUAGGUGCAAUUUAUUUUGAGUGUACAAAUAAUUCCUCUCUGUCCAAACAUCAUGAGUAUAGGCAAUUAACUCUUUUUUUGACAAAUAUCCUAAGCUUCUAUCUAUUUGCACAUUACAAAUUUUGAGCAAUCUUAAUCUCUUCAUCUUUGUAAAGGCGUCAAUACUAAAGUUUAACUCUUUUGAUUCAGACAAAUCAAGGAAUAUGCCUUCAACUGCUUCGGUCCCCUAACAUUAACCAAGAGCAAAGUAUAAGUUUCAAAUUAAAAUAGAAAAAUUAAAAAAAUAAUAAUAAUAAAGAAAAAAGAAAGAAGAAAGUCUAGAAUAUAGCAAAUUAAUUACAUUUUUUUCCUUUUUAUUUUUUAUUUAUUUUUCACUUUUUUAAGUGUUGUUGGAAACUUGGAGGAAUGAAUUUUUAACACAAGAAAUAUUUUAGGAUAGUAACUUUCGUAAUGGAAGUAAAAUUGUACAAAACUGUGAGUUCUUGAAUGAGAUUGGAUAGUAUUCUUUAAACUUAGGCUUCCAUCUAAAACUUAUACACAUGAAAAAAGAGAGUUGAUGUAUUUUAGCCUUACCGUAUUUGUUGUUAGUACAUGAUUGAUGUCCUCAUGAACUCUUAACCUGCUACGCUCGCCAGGUACUUCAGAUUUUUGUCUAACAAUUUCCCAACCCAUUUCUUGUAAUAAAUCAUGCAUGCACAACUUAUUCUCCGAAAUAGUUAUAAGUGACUUAUCUUCAAGAUUUCUUAUCCCAAUGCCAAAGAAGAAACCACAACUAUCUAGUAUGUCUCCAACAAAAUCUUUAUCAUGCCCUUUAUAAAAGAAUGCAAUAUCAAGAAAUAUAUUUUGUUCAUUGUCAUCUAACCCUUCAAAACUUGUUUUGAGCACAUUUUGAACUUCUUUGUUGGGGAAUUGUUUGAGUUUGUUCAAUUCACUCUCCCAUUCAUGUAUGCCUUUUGUGUAUAGAGAAGAACCCAAGACUUUAAGGGCUAACGGGAGGCCACUAGUAUAAUCUAAUGCAUGGCCACAUAGUUGCCUAAAAUCUUCUGUACCAUGCCUAUGUCUAAAGGCAUACAGACAAAAUAGCUUAAGAGCUUCAUCAUUGUCUAAUUCCUUAACUUCGUAUAUUGCAUCCACUUCUUGACAAGUUAGCAAAUGUCGAUCUCUAGUUGUUAUGAUAAUUCGACUUCCUAAACCAAACCAAUUAUUGUAUCCUGCUAAAUCUUCCAACUGUUGUCGUUGAUCCACAUCAUCAAGGAUAAUAAGGACCUUCCUAGAGUGGAGCACAUCCUUCAUAAAAUUGAUUCCUUUAUUAAAAAGUCCUGCAUUUGGUUUCCUUUCCUUUAAAAUUUGUGAAAGGAGUUCCAUUUGUAAAUAAGGUAGACCAUGUUUGUAUGACUCUUCUCUAACAUUUGAAAGAAAGCAACAACCUUCAAAUUGAGUGUAGAUUCGCUCAUAAAUAACUUUAGCAAUGGUAGUCUUCCCUAUGCCAGCCAUGCCCCAAAUUCCUACCAUCCGAACAUCAAGUGAUCCAAUACAUAAUAAGCAAUGUUUUAAAAACCGGACCGGACCGGCCGGUCGGACCGGUCCAACCGUCGGCCGGUCACCAUUCCGGUCCGAUCCGGUCAUUUAGACCGGAUUGAGAUCUAACCGGAGUUAAACCGUUCGAACCGGCGGUUCAACCGGUGAACCGGACGAACUGGCCGGUUCCAAAAAAACCGACCAAUUCAAAAGAUUUUAAUUUUUCUUUAAAAAAAAAUUAGAAAAUGAAAAUAUUACCAUAGAAUUUAAAAUGAAUUUUACUAAAGGAUGUUGGGCUUGUCUUAUGACACAGCCCACAACCCACAUACCCAUUCCACUUUAUGUGGGCUGAGUUUUGAGCCCAAGUUUUGAGCCCACAAGCCUAUCUUAAGCCUUUGCUGAGGAUGGCUUUUAUAGGAGUCAUUUGACUCCUUGUUCCCCUUUCUUGCCGAUGUGGGAUUGCUAAAAAUCAAAGAAAAAAAACAUAACAAAACUCCAAGAAGGUUUGAACCUUGGACCACCCCUAUACUAAGUCCACAUAGAACACCACUCGGCUACAUGGAUUUUAUUUCCUACUAUGCCAAACAAAACAACACAUAUUAGAUUUUAAAUUUUUUUAUAAUAUUAAAUAAAAAUAAUAUAAUAUUUUUAAAAAUUAUGAAAUUAGUUUAAAUUUUCAUUUUUUUAUAUAUUCAUAUUUAAAUAUUACACAUAUUUCAUUUAAUAAAAUUUAAAAUAUUAAUAUGAUUUAAUUUGAUAAUAUAUUAAUAUCAAAGAUAUAAAAUAAUAUUAUUGAUGUUUAAUUUAUUCAUAUAUAUUUUAAAAUUUUUAUAAUUAUAUUUAAUUUUAAUAAAAUAUAAAUUAUAUAUUUAUGACGUCACCGGUUCGAUAGCGGUUCGACCGCCGGUCCGACCAGUGAACCGUGAACCGGUAACUUUUCCGGUUCGAUCACCGGUCCGGUUCUGAAAACAUUGAUAAUAAGGAAUCCAUGGCCUCUAGGCGGGACUCCAUCCCAACUAGGCCCUUCAUGUAGCUUGGAGAUGUGCCAACCAAUUUAUUCCAAAUAUCUCUAACAAUUUCCUCAAUAAGUUUGGAUUCAUGCCUGUCAAAUUCAAUUUGAGAACAAUGACAUAUAUAGUUAAAAUAAUAAUAAAAAUCCAUAAACGGACAAAGAAAAAUAUAUUAAAUGUGAGAGUACGUAGAGGUCGUUUGUUUUUUUAGCUUUUUAUUGAAAACAAUUGUUUAUUUUUCCACUUUUUUUAUAACUUAUUAUAAACAUUUUGUUGAAUAGAAAAAAAAAAAAAAAAACAAUCUGAGAUACCAUAAUUAAGAGCCACGCUCAACACUCUGUCCUGCAGAAACUUAAUGGUUAUGACCAUCAGGGGUGGAAAACUAGUGAGAUCAAGGACCAUAUGGCAAGGUACCGAAUUUUAUUUAUGCCUAAUAUUAUAAUUUUUUAUAACAAGGGGCAUUUAGAUCGAUCUCAGCUUAAUACGUGGGUCGAGAUCAAUCUUCAUUUGGAUCAAUGUGUACAUAGUCACCUCUUAAUUAAUACAUACCUCUGACAUGUCACAUGAUGAAGCAGAGCUUAUCCAGUUAAUAGAAAAGAAGAAGCACAUCUAGUUAGAAAGAAUUACCUAUCCCGUGAAUCCCAUCCAGAAAUUGUGGCUACUUCAGUUAAUGCUUCUCUCCACUUGACCACUUUCUCCAUCUUCUCCCUGUAUUCUUGUUCAUGCUUUGCAAAUGCCUCUGCAAAACUCCCUGUUUGUUUUUUUACAUGGGAGGGAUUCAAGUUAUAGAAAACUGGUAGUGCUCUAUGUCCCAUAACUUUGAUGCAGUCAAGUAUCUUUACUAGCUCGUCCAGACACCAACUGGAAGAAGCAUAGUUGUCAGAGAAAAUGAUGAUGGAAAACCUCGAUUCUUCAAUGGCGUUAAGGAGCGCUGGAGAUAUUUGUUCUCCUCUCCUAAGUUGGUCAUCCAUGAAAGUGUUGAUUCCUUUUUGACAAAGCGCCGUGUGAAGAUGAUCAGUGAAGCUUUUACGGGUGUCUUCGCCUCUGAAACUAAGGAAGACAUCAUACUUCCAUUGAUGGGUGGAAGAAGAAGUAGAAGAAGUAGAAGAAGAAGAGGAAGAAGGAGCCAUUAGAGAAAUGAAAGAAGCAAAACCAUGGGAAGAAUGAACAAGAAAACUAAUGAACCUGAGGGCUGAAUUCAGUGUCUUGUGUGGACCUUAUCCAAAAAGAAUCACCAUUUGGCUGGACCGUGAGAACUGAAGAGCUAAUGUCUAUUCAUACCCCAUUGGUAUUAACACAUCAUUAUUAGUAUAUUAACAUCAUUCAUCCAGUGUAUUGAAAUUAUGUAAUAAUUUCUUUAUAUACAUAUAGAAAAAAGAAACUACAAGUUUUGUGAAGUCAAAUUAGUAUUUCAUUUGUUUUUAGAAAUGAUUUAUAAUAUAAGUAUAUUAUAAAAUAUGGUAUGAUCAUACAAAAUUAUCACUUUUAUAAAAAAAAGUUCAAAAUUUUUCCAAUUAGAUUUUAUUAUAAUAUAUUGUAAUGUAAACGUAUUUAUAUUGUAAUUAUAACAUAUUUUUGUUGUAUCUAAGUUUUAUAAUAAAAGUAAUAAUUUUAGAUAUCAUUUUUUAUUCCUCAUUAAUAUUCAACAUAUCAUAUGUAUUAACAUCAUCCACUCAAUUUAUUGAGAAAAAAAAAAUUAUAUAUGAAAAUUAAAUAGUCUACCUCCCUCUAAUUUAAAAAAUGGAUUACUCCGCUCAGGUGAAUAAUAUUUUCAACCUAAAUUAAUAUUUUGCAUUUUUUUAACAAAUAUUUUUCCAUGCAGGAUGAAUAAGUUAAGCUUUCACCAUAUUCUAGAAUUUAUUUUAACAUGGUAUUAAAAAUUUUAUGUUAUAUUUUUCUUAGCAUUUCAAUCUCAAUUUUAAUUUAAUAAUGAAAUAUCAUAUCAUUUUAUUAAGUUGCUUAGCUUCAAAGCAUUUAAUAGUGAGUCCGGGGCUAAACAUAAUUUAAAUAAAAAAAGUCAAAUGGAAAAAGGAAAAGUGGGAGACACAAAAGAGAGAAAGACAAGAAUGGGGUGGGGGCCAUUGCUUUUUCUAAGAGAAAAGCUUUUCCUCAUCCACGAAGAAGACCAGUCCAUGAUUAAAAAGGAAGUGAUUACCUCAAAUCAGGAGGUAUGACAGAGAUUGAACAAGAGCUUCUUCAACUCGAACCACCUUUAAACUCUUCAUUGAAAUCUGGAGAAAUCAAAGUAUUUUUCACUCAAUUGUUGCUAUAAUAUCAUGAUAAAUUUAUUUUAAUAAAUUAAUAGAAUAAACAAUUGGUGGUCAAUAAAAUAUUUCCAAAAUCCAAUGUUUGAUUGCCAAAGGCUUCAAGAGUAUGAGAAGGUUUCGAAGAAGCUUACAGGGGGAGCAUAGGUGAUGGAGGGGAAAGAAGGAACCCGAUUUUGAAGGAGCCGAAGGGUCCAUCAGAUGACCUUUUUUGUAGUUAGAGUCAUCUCCAUCGCCAUCUCCAUCUCCCGGCCACGUGGUGCCGAAAGGAAAGCUGCAUCCGCCAUCUUUCUCGUCUUCCUCGUAUACUAGACGAAUCCCACACUUUUUCACCUCACCAUCUGAGCCCGUCAAUGCAAAUGAAGCAACCACAUUGUCGCUUAGCUUUCUGAACCAAUUACCGAGGCAGAUCUCUAGUCGAGCAAGAGAUUUAUACUCAAACAACGUGUGAUCUGACUCAAUAAAUCUGGAUCCUUCAGGUGGAGUAUACAAUGAGUGCAGGCCAGUCUCCACAUAACAAUCAUUCAGAUAACAAACUAAACCAAAGGGUGAAGGUUCUGUACCGGGGUACCCAUCCAUAGCACCCUUGAAAUUGAGAGCAGCACAAAAAGCCAAUCCCAUCAACUUGGUAUUAUACCAAUGUGGAGGCAGCUCUAUAUUUACAGAACACCCUACACUCUGAUGCCUGAACCACUCUGGAAUUCUACUUCCAGGAACCAAAGCAUUAUGUUCAUUGUCUGGAGUAGGGAUCCCCUGCAUCAUGGAAAUCAUUUCUCGCAUGUGAGAAAAUAGUGUAGAAUAAGUAUUCAAAGUUUUAAAAUUAUUUUCUGGGAUUAAAUUUAUUUUUCAGUUUUUUUUUUUAAGCAAAUACUUUUUGUCCUAUACAAUCCCAAAGUAGAAAAACAUACCCAUGGCACCAGAAAUUUUGGUAUUGAUGACAUAAGCUGGAUUCCCUCUAAUAUAGUUCCCACAAUGUCACUGCCUUGAUUCUCUCCUAGCCUAAAGCAUAUAGUGAAAUUAAAUCUGAGAUCCCCGACCUUCUUGGAUGUGUAUGCACUUGAUGAACAUGAGAAGGUUUCCAGGGAUGUGCAACUAUGGGCAUUUAAACUUUCAACACUUGAUGGAAGCUCUGGCAAUGAUUGAAGACUCUUGCAGUAUUCUAAUGUGAGACUUCGCAGCCGAGAAAGUCCACUGAGGCUAGAAGGUAUGGUAAUGAAACUGUUCCUGCUCAGAUCUAACCUUUCCAAUGAGGGUAAGGACCCAAGAUCACUGGGCAAUGCUCCUUCCGAUAGGUUGCAACGUUGUAGAAUUAACACUCUCAAGGAGUAUAAACCCGAGAAAGAAGGCAGUCGCAAUUCUUCUGUUGGUGAUGAGUGGAAAGAGAAGACCAUAUUCCUUGACUUGGAAUCCCCUCCCUUACAUCCUGCUAAUGAUAAUUUUUGAAGGUUUGUCAAAAGAGUAAUAGAGGGUGGAACCUCUUGUAUACCACUUCCAUCUGCAUUCAGCUCUGCUAAACAUUGUAGGCUCCCCAAGUCAUCUGGCAAUUCCUUCAGCUCUGAGCAACCACAGAGAGUAAGAGUCCCAAGAGAUGUCAACUCACAAAAGCUUUGCGGAAGACUUGCAAGUUUUUUACAAUUCUUCAGAUUCAAAAAAACAAGCCCAUUUAGACACCCAAUUGAGGAAGGCAGUUCUAUUAUACCACUCCCAUCUAGAAAAAGCUCCAUCAAACUCUCCAUGUUUUCCUGGAUCUCUGGAAGCUUCUUGAGUCUUGUGCAGUUUGAAAGAAUGAGAGUUUUCAGGGACUUCAACUUAAAAAUGCUUCUGGGUAGUGACUCAAGGCUUUUGCACUCUUUCAGAUUUAACAAAGCAAGUCCAGUGAGAUUUUCAAUGGACAAGGGCAAUCCUUUUAUAGCAGUCCCUUCUAAAGAAAGAUUUGGUAGAUGUUCCAUAUUCCCUUGGACCUCUGGAAACUUCUUCAGUUUUGAGCAGCCAGAGAGAGUAAGAAUUUGAAGGGACUCCAUAUGGAUGCUGCUUGAGAAACUCUUGAGUUUUUUGCAGCCUUCUAAAUUCAGGAAAAUAAGCUUCUUGAGAGCUCCAAUAGAUGGGUGAACCUCGACCAAACUUGUACAACCUUUGAGAAUUAGUCUCCUAAGGUUUGGCACUCCAGAGAAGUCUGGUGUUUUGGUUAGAUGUUGAGAGUGGCUAAGUUUGAUGGAUUUCAACUUCUCAAAUCCCUAUCAAAGAAAAGGGAAAACAAUCCACUUUAAUGGACUUUAUAAUCCAUUUAAAGAAAAAAAUGUACAUAAAUUAUAAUCAUACCUUUUUUUUUCCACUACUACAAAAAAAUGUAAUUUAUGACGCUUUUUUUCUUGACACUUCUAUAAAGUGCCAUUAUUUAUUCUCAAAAAUGGGUAUUAAUGACACUUGCAUUAUCUUGGCGCUUUAAUGGGAGAAAUAAUAACGUUUUUAAAUAAUGGCGCUUUUUAAGCGUCAUUGUACAUUGAAUUUCAAAUAAUGACGCUUUUUUAAGUGUCAUUGUAGGAGAACCUCAACCUUGGCGGUUUUAAAAGCGUCAUUGUACAAUGCAUUUCAAAUAAUGACACUUUUUUAAGUGCCAUUGUAGGAGAACCUCAACCUUGGCGCUUUUAAAAGCGUCAUUUUCUGUUCAUUUUAUAAUUACUCACAUUUUUCAAUUAAAAAAAAAGAGAUAAAUGUAAUAAAGCCUUUUCCAUACCCGAUGCCCACACUCAAGUUUCAUUACCAAAUCUGUCUCUAACUGAACCAGCAAGCUCCAGCCAAUUUCGAUUGAGAAAAUGAAGUUCUUACUCCAAAUCAAGAAGAUAGCAUUCAUGGAUGUUCCACCGAUUUGACUAUUUGGGUGUUGGAUUGAGAGAAAGGAAAUGAAUGGAGAUAUGAGAGAAAGCUAGGGUUUUUUUAGAUUCGUAGGUUGGGAGAGGCAAGAGGCAGCAAAGGCAAGUGCCUUCGGUUGAAGAGGUAAGCAAGGAGGAAAGGUCGAAGAACCAGAGGAACAGAGGAAAGAAAAGAAGGGAGAAGAAAAAACCCAGAAGAGAGAGUUGUUGGGUACGAGCCCAUAUGUUCUCAUUUUCCCAUGGAUUCACAUUCUUCACUAUUGAUUUCUGGGAUUUGAGUGUGAAUGCUUGUAAAUCUGUUGUGGUUUUUGUUUAUUAUCAGUUAUUUUCUUGGUUUGCAUCUCCGAUAAAAAGAUACUAUACCUCUGUUUUUAGGCUCAGUUGUGUCUCUCCUCUGUUUUUGUUCUCUGGUUCUUAUGUUCUCUGGAAGAUUUGGAAAUGGUUUUGGUGUUGUUCCAUUUGUGUACAAUGGUUCAUGCCGAAAGGAGCUUGCUUUCCAUGGAGUUGUAGGUACUGCCUAUAACUUGUUUGAUGAAAUGUCAUUUCGAGAUAUGGGCUCUUGGAAUGCAUAGAAAGUUUUUCAAUAAUUUUUAUUAAGGGAUGUAGUGUCAUGGAACUCAAUAAUUGCUGCCUAUGAGCAGAAUCAUGUGGCUUUCGAAUUAAAUAAAAAAAAAUUUAAGCUUCAUAAUCUGACAUAGGCUUCAUUGCUUAUGUUAUAAAAGAUGCUAUUCAACUUCAUUUUUAAAUGGGUUACACAACAUGUUAUCUAAUUAAUAAUAACGUCAUGUUUGGUUCAUCUAUUCAAUAAACUAAUUGAGAUUUGACACUCCACUUAUGACCACAAACUAGAAUGGUCACCCCCAACAUAAGUAGAACACAUGUCAAGGUGCGGCUUAGCUCUACUUUAGCCUUACUUGGGAAAUCUACCCAAGUCUAAGCCUAAAAACAAAAUGAAAAAAAUAUCAUGAUAUUAUAUUAAUACAAAUUAUAUGUAUCUAUAUUGAUUAUCUAAUUAAUCAAGACUCUAAAAAAUGAGUAACUUUGAUAAAUCAUUUUGGGGGUUGGAGAUGAACCAAUUUUAACAUGAACUUUAUGUAGUGAGUCUUUAAUGGAUUUAGCCAAGUUUGUGAACUUAGGCCUAAAAUGUGAUGCUUAUAAACAAUAUUUUCCUAUUCUCACCAUUGUAAUUGAUAUGAAUAAUUUAUAAUACAUAACUAGAUGUAAUAUUUUAAUAAGUAUUUAUGUUUUAGUUUUAAUCAACUAUGCAUGCAUGAAACCUUAGAAUUCCCAUUCAAGUAUCAUUGUGAGACAAAAGUUUCUCUUAUUACAUACUAAGACAAUAAGUUGUCAAAAUGUGAAAUGUGGGUAUAUUUAAGCCAGUUUCAAGUUGCCAACUACUAAAUUUGUCUUCCAUGUGAUAAAGAUCUUUUCUCUGCAAAUGAUGUUUGAAUUGUCCAGUUGGACAGUAUAGGAAAACAUGAUAUCUAUGAAGUUAAUUGCUUGUUCUUAAUUCAAUUUUUAGAAAAUUGGUAGUCUUUCUUCUUGUUCUCUGGGUGUAUAUUUGGACAAAGUCACAUAUUGUGCCUUAUCCAUUUUGGCUUAUAUUCACAAUGGAUUUUUAUAUGAUAGUGUUUUCUUUUGUGCUGGCUUGAGGGAAAAUGAAUGAAGAUGAGGGAUAGGAGAGAUGAAAAUGUUGAAAAAAAAUAUUAUUAAGAAAUGUUUGUUCUCCUCAUUUUCUUAAGUCUUUUUCAAGAAAAAUGUUAAAGACAUUUUUAACCAUUUUCUUUGUUUAUCUUUAUUUAUUUAUUUAUUUAUUUAUUUAUUUUAUCUUUGUUUCUAACAAUAUAUAUAUAUAUAUAUAUAUAUAUAUAUAUAUAUAUAUAUAUAUAUAUAUAUAUAUAUUAAAUAUUAUGACAUUUGACUUUUAAAUAUCGUUAUUGUGGGAAAAUAUGAAAAAAAAAUAGAGAAAAAAAUGAAAAUAAAAUAAAAUAAAUAGAUUCAAAAUUAAUAAAUUAUUUUUAUAUAUUUCUUUAAAUUAAUUUCAUUUAUUUUCCUUUGUUUAUAUUAAAUUUUUAACUAAUUAAUUAUUUUUUAUUUUAUUCGUAUUUUCCUUAAUUAAACUAAACAUGCCAAAACCUUUUUUUUUAAUAUAUUUUUCCUUCGUACUUUCUGGAUCAAACAUAAUGUAAAGUUUAUUAUUAUUGAGAUUUUUUUCCUUUUUUAAUGAGGUUUCUAAUCUCUUCUUAAGAAACACUAAUAGGCGGGUUGAAUUUAAGCUAAACCCAAGGCAGAGCCAGUCCUUUAAGGGCCAAUUGGACAAAGCCCAACCUAAUUAAUUCAAGGUAAUGUUUGGGUUGAUUUUUUAAGUCCACUCGACCUGCAUUUAAGCUCGGCCCAAUCACUUUAGGGCCAGGGUUGAUUUAAUGUUUUAAGCCUGAGCAGCCCGACCUGAACAUUGGAGCCCUAGCACAGCCUAGUAGAUAGGCGGAAAAGGGCCACAAAAAUAGCUGCAGCCCGACCCAAACAUUGGAAGCCCUAGCACAGCCUACUAAGUAGGCGGAAAAGAGAAAAAAAAAAAACCUGCAUAAUAUGAUAUAGAAGGAAUCAACCAUUAAAAAUGUGUAAAAUAUUUAAGGCCCCAUGUACCCAAAUUAAAUUUAGGCUUAUUACAAAACAAUCAUAUUUUGUUAUAUGCUUAGGCUUUUGCAUGUGGGUUUGCAAUAUGAAUAAUGGUUUGAGUCAAAUAUGAAAAUAUAGAUAAUAACGAAUAUACUAAUACUUUGAUUGUACGGGUAUAUGUAUGAUAUAAUUUAUCAUAUUUAAUACUAAUAUCUUAUAUAUUGAUAAAAAAAUAUGAAUUUUAUAAAUGUAUAUUUAUCAUUAAAUUAAAUAAACUAUUAUUUCAUAAUAAUAUUGUGAUAUUUAAUUAUAAUAUGUCUAAUUUUAAAAUAUAUUUAAUAUUAGAAUUAUGAUUCAUUUAAUUCAAUUAUAUUAAAUGAUAUAAAAUAAAUGAUCUUUUAUAUAUAUAUAUAUAUCUAAUUUGUUUAAUAUUUAUAUUUUUUGUAUUUAAUUAAUAUACAAAUGAUAUAAAAAAAAGUUAAGAAAAUUAUCACCAAAAUUUUUAUAUUUUUAGUGGUCCAUUAAAUUAAAUUUUAAAAUUAAAUUAUUUAUUAAAAUAUUUUGUUUUUUAUUACCGUGCUAGUACAUAUUUUUCUAGUGCACAGUAUAUAUUGUAAGGUGAGUUAGUCUAGUAGUAAGGUUGUGAAUGUUGGUUUUGGCUUAGGUUUGAGUCCCUGUGCCCCAAGCCAAAAUUUAUAAUUUUUACAUUUGACCGCCUAGCCCCAAAAAUUUUGGCGAUGAAAUGUUGUCUCCAACGAUUUUUUUUUUUUUCACUGAUUUAUCGUCGAUUGUCGAAAUUUCAGUAGUUUUUCGUUGAAAUAUGAUGAUUUAUUUUUUGGAAAAAUUGGUCAUUCAAUAUUUUGCCCCUUAUUUCGUUUUCACAACCCUGAAAAAUGAUAUUUCAGCAAAAUUUUAUCAAAAUUAAUGAAAAUUUUCAUCCAUGGUUUGAGCCUAGCUUGUAAACCAAUUGGGCUUUGGAUAAAAUAGAAUAUCUACAUUUUAAGAAUAUUAUUUUUAAUGAAAUAUAUUGUCAUUAGAUGUUGUAUUUAAUGAAAUGAUGUGUUGGGUUGUGGACUUUUGUCCAUGUGAUAGCAUUCGCUUUGUAUUUUUAUUUUUAAAAUUAUGUAUUUACUUACAAAAUUGAUUUUUAUUCAUUUAUUAGACAAUUUGAUUUUAAUUAAAAAAAAAUAUGUUUUUAUGUGAUCUAGAGUCGUCAUUUAUUUUCUUUUCUAUCCUCUCUUCGAACUAAGGUAUUUUCUCUUACUUCUUGCACUUUCACUUCAUGAAUAAGCUCCAAAAAUUAGGAAACCCCCUCCAUUUCCAAUAAUGAGAAGAUCUUUUGAAUUGCACCAGACAUUAACCUUUGUUUCCUCGCCCCAUCCCAUAGGUUUGCAACUAGUUUUUAUGAGAGGCUAAAUGAAAUAGCACAAAAAAUACUUCUUUCAAAUAGUUCUCCUCCACCCGACUGUCCCACUCAAAUUUUGUUUGUCUACCAUUAGUACCUCGAAAAGUUGUCUUGAGGCUAAAACUCUUUUCAACCUUUCCUAAUAAAUUAUUUUUUAUAUGUUUUUUUAAACUCAUUUUACUUAAUUUUCUUUAUUAUAUAAAGAUUAAAUAAUUUUAAAAUACAUAAAUUUUAAUUAUAUUUAAUUUUCUUUAAAAAAAUUUAUGAUGAAACCAAAUAUGAUAAAAUCAUUUUUUUUUUUAAUUUUUUUUCCUUGAUACUUUUUGAAACCAAACAUAACAUUUAGAAAAAAAAAAAAAUUCUAUGAAUCAUUUUUCAAAUAUAAUAUAUAAAGAAACAUAUUUCAUUCAAUCAAUCCUAUGUUCUUCCACCUUCCUGCAAUCAUUUUAUUUAUAGAGUAGCCCAAGUAAUAUUUGAUAUUGAACAUUACUCAAUUCACACAACAUUAAUGUGUCAAGAAGCUGAGGGUGUCAAAUUAUGCUAUAAAAGCAACAAUUCAAUUGAAGUAGACUUUGCUUUAACAUAAUCAAAUUUCAUGAUUCGGCUAUGAACGUAAUACAAUCUAAUCUAAUGAAGUGAUCAAUGACUUGCUCCAUGAUUUGGCUUAUGGGACAAAGAGAUGAGGUGUAAAGAGUAGGGCAAAGGAUAUGUGAAUUGGGAUUUGAUUCAUGUGGGCUGGUCUGGAGGGCUUCGCAAAAGUUGCAGCUGGAAGGUGAUUGAAUUGAAGGGUCAUAAUGAGUUUGGGCUCUCUUCUACCAUAUCUUGCCUAAUGGGACGCGUUAGUUUAAAGGAUCUGUCCGAAAACUAGACUUGUAAAUAAAAUUAUAGACAUUUUUAAGUAAAAAAUUUAUCAUAAAUAUAACAUUACUUUCUUAAUAUUCUUAAAUACAUUCAAACUAAAAAAGUAGGUCAUCAUUUUAGUAUUAAAUGUAUUUUCAAUUACUACAUAUUAUGAUUUAUGGUCACAAAUUUUAUCAUAUAUAUUAUUCUUUUUAAUAGAACAUCUUUAAUAUAUAUAUAUUAUUGUUUAUUUUAUCAUUUCAUUUUUAUAUUUUUUUUAAUAUUUUUAUUAGUUUUGAUUAAUUUUUGUUCUAUCAAUAUUUUUUUUUCAAAUUUCAAUGUGAUAUUUUUUAUAUUACCUGUUAUUUCCAUAAAAAUCAAAUCAUUGAUAUUUCCGUAACUUCCAAUAUUAAUGAGACAGAAAAAGAGAAAUCAUAUUAAAUCAAAGUCAUGAAAAGGAAAAGGGUGAAAGUUAAUGAGAGGAAUAUUACCCUAAUGAUGAUCAUCAGCUACGUGUAAAUUUCUUAUCAAGAGAAAAAGGAGUAGCAGCAACAGAAGAUAAGCAUACGCAUAAUCCCUCCUUUCAUUAUAAAUAUAAAAAAUAAGAAAUACGAAGGAAAAUGGAAUGAGUGAAAGUUAACCUCAUGAGAAUCAUCAAUUGCACAAGAUUACAUAGCAAAAAUUUUCUUAUCAAGAAAAAAUAAAUAAAUAAAGAGAAUUUUUGAUGAAUUGUAUUGUGGCCAACAAGGAUGUGAUGGGUAAUGAUUUGGAUGAAGUAGAUCAUGACUAGUAAAGAGUAUUGGGUAAUUUUAAAAAACUCAUUACUAAGACGCUAAUAAGGUUCAUCAACACUGCCCCUUAGAUGAUAGAUCAUGUUUUAUUAAUUGGUAGAGAAAAAGAUUUUGUCAAUUAUGAGGGGAACUUUCCUUUUUUUUUUUUUUUUCUUUUUACUUCAUUGCACAAAAAAUAUUUUAAAGUAGAAAGAAAAUUUCAUAAUAUUGGAAUGACUUCCAAUAUUAAGCAUGUAUAAUACAUGCAAGAAUUGUGCAAAUAAUAGCACAAUGUAUAACAUAUAAGAGAAAACAAAAACAAAGAUAAAAUGAAAUAUGUUAAUUCCAAAUUUAGCUCUACAGGAGAACACAAUAUGAAAAAGUAAAGAAAGUAGGAUGAUUGGAUAAACAUAAUAAAGAAAGGUUCAAGAUAGUCCCACUAAUUAGAAAAGAAAACCUUUAUUCGAGCUAGGUUCAUGGUCAGUCCAAAUUUGGCUUAAUGCAAAGCGGGACCAUUGUUGAUCUUAUCACCAAUCAUCUAAUCUUUGCAAGCCAAACAUAGUGUCAAUAAUAUUCCAUACUUGUUCUUGUAACGAGGAUCAAGAAUCUUAUCACAUAUGAAUAAGAUAAUAAGAUUAUUUGAGAUCCACCUUUACGAAAAGCUAAGAUCCAACUGUUAGCCCUUUGGUCCCUUGACCUUAAUUUUUUUUAGAAAAAAAAAAAGGGUCUCAUGAGUAUGGACCUUGCACCCAUGGGAACACAUAGGAAAAUGGCAAGCUAUUGGAGGUUUGGAAAAACAUCACAAAAAUAGAAGUGUUGAAGAAGGCAACACUAGGGGUUGGCAUAAGUUGUGCAAGCUUGUGCACCUUGCACGCUAUGCGCACACUCAUGCAUCUCGUGUAUGGUCCCAAACACCUAUGCACAACAUCUUAUGCUCGCGAGCGCUCAUGAUGCUGCACCCACGCACACUUGUCCCCGCAUGCGCAUGACGCACAACAAUAGAUGGCUUAGGCUAAGUUGGUUAAAAAAAGGUUGAAAUUGUGGCUUGCUUGUAUCUUUCGUUUGAAAGUGAGCAUGUAACAGGAGGUUUGGGGGUGGAAUUAUUAUUUUUGGAUUUUUGUAAUAUUUAAUAAAUUCAUUAUGUCUCAUCAAGCAUAUGUGAUGUCACCUCUAAAAAUUUCUAAAAUGGUUUUAAAUGCUCUUUAAGAGAGGGGGAAGCAGGUGACUCAAAAUGGGCACCUAGGCAAGGCUUAGCCAUACAUUCAAGAGGGCAUCAAGGCAUGGCCUUGGGAAAGGUCAUGACACUCAGAUGAGCAUCUAGCAUGAACAAAUUGGCUCCACGACAUGUGUGAUGUGCAACUUAUAGCCACAAUGGCAUAAGGCAUGGUGCAAGCCUCUCCCUCCUUGGUGCUGGCACGAGGACACUCAACCUUGUGCAUUGAGGCAAAUUGAUAAGCCAUGGGUGCAAUGCCAUGACAUGCUGCUGCAAACCAAGACAGACCUUAGACACGACAUGACACCAUUGCAGUAGCAAGGAUGCCUCAGACGAAUGGCUAAUGAGUUACAUAAGGGCACAAUGCCAUGGCAUGAUGUUGCACCAAGAAGGGUCUAGGACAAAAGCAUGGUGUAGUUGCAGCAAGGAGGGAGGUCUUAGAUGCAUGCUUAGCAUAGGGGCACAAUGCCUUAUGCAUGUAGAUGACAAGCCAUGGGCACAAUGCUAUGGUUUAUCACUACAACCAAGAAAGACUUGGGAAUGGCACGAGAAACCACAGUAGUGAUCCAACUAAUGUAGACAUAGUGGUGCAUGGAUGACUCAGGCAAGGCAUGGGAGGGCCUUGCAAAUGAUUGAUUCCUUAGACAUGGACAACAACACCUUGGUGUCAUGGGCGCCUAGACAUGGCACAAAGAUAAGCAUUAGUAUGCACUAAGGCAUCAGAGAGGGUUAGACACACUCCGUUAACCAAGGCAAGAUGUGGAUUGGAUCAGUUGACACACCCACCAGGUGAUUGAUGCGGGCCUCACUUACAAGCAUUAAGGGCAAUGCACUAGAAUAGCAUGGGUCGACUUGCAAACAUGAACCAAACACUAUCUUAGCCUAAUCCACUUAGAGAAUGGGUCAUUUGGCUGAAUUACAAAGGGCAAUUAAAAUGACACCCAUCGGCAAGAGGCGUCCUGAGAGAAGUUACUUGACACCUAUUUAGAAGAGGUACCUUGAUUACAGUACGUAGCCUUGACACAACAUGGAAGGAAUAUGAAGAUAAUUGUUAGCUAUAGAUGGCAUGAAGGAACACCUUGGUUUGAAAGGGUAUCUCUAGUUGGGUGGUUGUAGCAAUUCCACAACCACUACCACAGGCUCCUGAUUUGAAUUCAAGUGUUUGAAUUAUUCUAUUUCGACUUUUUUUUUCUUUGUUUUUUAUACAAUUCAACAAUAAAAUAUUAUACUAUGUUUUUACUAUUUUAAUACAUAUAUGAAUUUAAUCACAUAAAAUAAUUGAAAAAUAUUAAUCUACAAUGAUUAAUGAAAUAAAAUUAUUUGUUAUUUACCAAAUUUAAAAUCAUUAUUAGUCCUUGUUUAUAGCCAAAGGAACAAAAAAAAAAAAUUACAAAUAAAUUUAAAUUGAGUCAAAUAAAAUUUGAUUAUAAAAUAAUAAUAAAAAUUCAAUACAUUAUGUAUUUUUGGAAGAAAAUUCAUUAAAGUAGUAGAAAGACUUGAAAACAUAUUAAAAGGAAGUGAUUACCUCAAAUGAGAGUAUGAUCAACCUUCUUGAAUGAGAGCUUCUGCAACUCGAACCACCUUUAAGCUUUUCAUUGAAAUAUAGAGAAAUUAGAGUAUUUUUCACUAAAUUGUUGCUAUAAUAUCAUAAUAUAUUUGUUUUUAUAAAUUCAUUAAUAGAAUAAAAAAUAGUUGGUCAAUAACAUAUUUCCAAAAUCCACUGUUUGAUUGCUAAAGGUUUGAAGGAGUAUGAGAGGUUAGGAAGCAGCUUACCAAGGGAUUGGACAUGGAGGCGAAAGCAGGAAUCCAAUUUUAGAGGAGCCGAAGGAUCUGAUUCAUCCAUCAGAAGACGCCUCCAUCUCCAUCUCCAUCUCCCGGCCACAUGGUACUGAAAGGAAAACUGCAUCCAUCAUAUUUCCCAUCUUCCUCAUAUACUAUACGAACCCCACACUUUUUCACCUCGCCGUGUGAAGUGACCUCGUCGUCUGAAGUGACCGCGCCUUCUGGGACAAGAAAUAGAAAUGAAGCCAGCAUAUAGUCACUGAGCUCUCCGAACCAAGGAGGGUACGGGGCCUCUAGUUCAGCACGAGAUAUAUACGCAAACCACGUGUGAUCUGACUCAAUAAUCGAUGAAGUCCAUAAUGAAUUGUGGUCGGAUAGCGUAGCAUAAUGACCAUCGAGAAAACAAGCUAAAGGGAAUGUACCAAGGUACCCAUCGACAGCACCCUUGAAGUUGAAAACAACACAAGCAGCCAAUCCCAUCAACUUGGUAUUAUACCAAUGUGGAGGCAGCUCUGCAAUUACCUUAGACCCUUCACUCCGAUGGGUGAACCACUUUGGAAUUCUACUUCCCUGAACAAGAGCUUGAUAUCCAUGUUGUAAUAGCGACCUCUGUAUCAUGAAAAUCAUUGUUGGCACGCAUGUGAGAAAAUAGUGUAGGAUAAGUAUUGAAAGUUUUAAGGAUUAUUUUGUAGGAUUACAUUUAUUUGUAAUUUCUUUUAAUUUUAAGCAAUACUUUUGUUCUACACAAUCCCAAAGUACAAAAACAUACCUCAUCUGGCUCCAGAAGUUUUGCCAUUGAUGACGCAAGCUGAGUUCCCUCUAGUAUAGUUUCCACAAUGUCACUGCCUUGAUUCUCUCCUAGUCUAAAGCAAUUAGUAAAAUUAAAUCUGAGAUCCCCCAACUUCGAUGUGUAUGUACUUGAUGAACAUGAAAGCGUUUCCAGGGAUGCGCAACUAUGGGCAUUUAAAUAUUCAAUACUUGAUGGAAGCUCUGGCAAUGAUCGAAGACUCUUGCAGUGUUCUAAUGUGAGACGUUUGAGCCGAGAAAGUCGACUGAGGCUAGCAGGCAAGGUAAUGAAACUGUUCUUGUCCAGAUAUAAAUUUUCCAAUGAAGAUAAGGAGCUUAGAUCAGUGGGUAGUGCUCCUUCCAACAGGUUGCAGUCACUUAAAUUCAAACUUUUCAAGGAGUAUAAACCCGAAAGAAAAGGCAGUUGCAAUGGUGCUGCUGGUGAUGAGCGGAAAGAGAUCAGAUUCCUUGACUUAGAUCCCCCUCCUUUGCAUCCUGCUAAGGAUAAUGCUUCAAGGUUUGUCAAAAGAUUAAUAGAGGAGGUUACCUCUUUUAUACCAGUUCCAUCUACAUUGAGCUCUGCUAAACAUUGCAGUCUCCCCAGGUCAUCUGGCAAUUUCUUUAGUUUUGAGCAACCAGAGAGAGUUAGAGUCUGAAGAGAUAUCAGUUCACAAAUGCUUUGUGGAAGACUUGCGAGUUUUUCACAAUUCCUCAGAUUCAACAAAACUAGCCUAUUUAGACUUCCAAUUGAUGAAGGCAGUUCUCUUAUAGCAGUCCCUUCAAAAGAAAUGCGUGAUAGAUUUUCCAGGUUUCCUUGGACGACCUCUGGGAACUUCUCAAGUUUUGAGCAGCCUUCUAAAUUCGGGAAAAUAAGCUCCUUGAGAGCCCCAAUGGAUGGGUGAAGCUUGACCAAACUUGUACAACCAUUCAGAAUUAUUCUCCUAAGUUUUGGGGCCGCAGAGAAAUCUGGAGUUUUGGUUAGAUGUUGAGAGUGGCUGAGUUUGAUGAACUUCAACUUCUUGAAUGCCUGUCAAAGAGAGAAAAAAAAGAACAAAUCCACUUUCAUGAACUUUUAAUAAUUUAUUUUUAAAGAAAAAACAAUGAAUAUAAAUUAUAGUUAUAAUCAUACCUUCUUUCCUUCCCAUAGUUGUUUAAGCAGACUAUAGCACAUGUUUAGCUCAACAAGCUUCUCUGGAUGAAAAUUUGAUGGAAGGGACUUCAAAGGGUAUCCAUGCCAAUGAAGAGAUCUUAAGUUGUUGGAUGGAAAUUUAAAAUCUAUAGAUAGAUGCAAUUUACUAUCAUUGUAUGGAGAGUUAUCAUAGCCCAUCCAUCUCCAAGCAUCAUGAGUACUAGCAAUUAACUCUUUCUUGGAUAAGUAUUCAGAUCUUCCAUAAAAUUGAAAAUUAUAGAAUCUGAGCAAUCUUAAUUUGUUCAUCUUUGCAAAGGCAUCAACACUGAGGUUUAGCUCUUUCGAUGCAGACAAGUCAAAGACCAUGCCUUCAACUGCUUCAGUCCCCUAAAGUUAACCAAGACCAGAGCAUGAGAUAGAAGUAAGAAUGAAAAAAUUGGGAAGAAAACAACUUAAUGACCUUUUUGCCUUUUCAUUUUUUUUUUUUCAAUUUUUAAGUGUGAUUGGAGGAAUGAAGUUUGAACACAAGAAAACACAUCUUUUAAGGUGGCAACUCUUAUUUGUUAGUAAAAUUGUAAAGAUCUAUGAGUUUU
rnacentral:lncRNA from 1 species